rnacentral:rRNA from 1 species
CAACACUGCUCAAAUCACCUGGAAUGCGCCCGAUCCCAUGAGUUCUCGAGAGUCUAAGCCGUGUUGAGCCUGGAUAGUGCUUGGAUGGGCGACCACCAGACACCACACACGUGUUGU